AGCUUACGUAAGAGAAGUUAGUGUAGUAACUCUUUCUCCUAUUAAAGCAAGAAAACAGUGAUUAGGUAGUAUGAUACUGAGCUUUUUCCAUCUCAGUUUCUGCUGAAGAGAGAAUGUGUUCUUUUCAGGAAGGUGGUAUUAAGGAGCUCAAAGCAACCAUGUUCUGGACUUCACUGCUGAGCUAGAUCCACCCUCUGGCAUGUGCUGAAAGGACUUCUUGUGAAUCCAAGAAGAGCAGCGUAAGCCCCUACAUAUGGACAACUAAAGACACUCAGCAUAGUGAAGCAACUUUUGCAGAUGAAGUCUCUGAAGAAACUCUGGCCAAACGAGAGAAACAGCUAGGAGUUUUACAAGAGGAAACAUGAAGGUAAUGUAUUUUAUGCACUCACAAUUGUUCAGGAAGGAUGAAAAGCUGAAAGCCAGGGCAAAAACCUGACCGAUACUGAUGGCACCACAACUUGCUUAUCAUUCUGUGAAGAUCAACAUCCCCUAUUCAUGAGGCUGUUGGAGAUUUCCAGGUUGGUACCUAUUGUCACAAGGGAAACUGUAGCACUCAAGAGGAAAUGUUUCUUUAUUUUUUAUUUUUAAAACUGGAAUGGUAGCCCUUAAUUAUUGUUAGGCUGGCAAGUAGGACCAGGAUGGCUGGAGGAGCCUAAACCCAGGCUUUGCUGCUCAUUUGUAGCUUUAACAAGGGGACAGUACUUGAGACUCAUAUCUGUCUGUAAUGGCCACGUUUUCACUAUGCCCUAGCCUCCAACACAAAUACAGGCUUUCGUUUAAUUUGUCUUGCGUUUGGGGCCUGUCCUGAGAAAAGACAGGUACCAAGGGAUGGCUGUUGUGCUGGCUCCUUUGGGUUUGCACCAAGAUCAGAAAACCCUUCUUUCUGCCUAUUGCUUCAUUGCUAAAUGUCCUAUUAAUGCUAAUCUUUCCAUUAAAGUGUUAACUACAAAAGUAACAGAGAAAUUAGAAAAAUAAUCCAAACACUUUCUCUUUUAUUUAAUCCCAUUUACGCCUACCACAUAUAUUGGGUCAUCUUGGUCUGUGAGUGAAGAAGAAUUAAUUUCUAUAAAAAUCUGCUGAAAUUCUAGCCCAGAACGACUCAAAUGGAGGAUCCAGCUAAGCCACAGAUGUGACUACAGACUUCCAUGACAUACUCUUUCUCUCUCUUUUUUUUUUUUUUUUAAGUUCUCUGAAAAGAAAAGCAUGAGCCAUGAACACAUGAAGGUGAGGAGGGAUACUAACAAAGUAGCAUAAUGUUCUUUCCUGCUCAAUAUGCCUGGAUAAAAUAUACACUUAGGGCUAGAAAUCCUUUUUUUUUGUCUGUUUUUCCUUUUUUUUAGUCUGUGUUUCUUUUCGAGUUUUUAUUUUGUUUUCAAAAGAUUGCAAGUGAAAAAUAACAUCAUAUGGUGUUUCCAUCAUAUUGCUGAAUCGUUGAAUAGCAGGAGUAGGAAUGUGUGCUGGUUUGACUGAAAAUGGGUUAAUUUUCUUCAUGCAGUGAGAAACCUUUCUUUUUCAUAGCUAGCAUGCUCAUUAUUUGGACUUAGUUUGAGAUCAAGCAGAUGACACCCCAGCACAGAGUUAAUGUUUUUAAUUGCUCUGAUUGGAGAGCCAAGGACACUCUGAGUGCUCUGCCCACAGGUGUGAGGAAGCGGGGGCAGAGAUGGGGCAGAGUUUGACUGACAUCCAGAGUGAUCAAUAUGAGUAUUCCAUCCCAUUGGCGUCGUACUCCAUACUUAAGGAGCUGGUCUCUUCCCCUUUUUUCAGGCUUCUCGGGUGCUUGCUCUUGUGUGCAUUGUUUUUCUCCUCUUCACUACUUUUGUUGGAGUUGAGAGAGUCUUUGUUGCAGGACGUUUAGUCUGGCUUUUGCUGUUUUGCAGAGACCUCUGAGCCUUUCUGCCUUUUUCCUCUUUUCUUGCUGUUGGGGACUGGGUGCUGCUUGCUGGGACUGGCUGCUCAGUUGUGGACAGAGUUUUUAAGGAAUUGCCUUGAGUAUCUUUAUAUAUAUCUACAUACUAGUAGUGUA